GGGGACCAAGUCAUACGCAGCAAAAAGAACAGCGAUACCACAAUCAUUGGACCUCCUGGUGAACCAAUUUGGAAUCAGGUAAAGGUCCUUGUAAUUCUGCUUCGACGUCUGUGUUUAAAUGAAGUUGUAAAAGUUUUUCUAAAUGAUCAUAUAUGUUUAUAUAUAUAUAUAUAUAUAUAUGUGCUUGCUGGUAGGAUACAAGCAACUAUAGAAAAUUGUCUGGUUAUAUGCAUCUUCUAUCAAGUCAUAUAAGAUAUUUGGUGAUGCAAUGGUGUUUGAUACCACUCAUUGCUUGACUGCAUUUGAUAUGCCACUUGGGAUAUGGGUUGGAAUGAAUAAUUAUGGUAUGCCUUGCUUCUUUGGUUGCUUGCUUCAACGAGAAGAAAAUCUGAGGUCUUUUUGAUGGGCAUUUAAGUGUUGACGAGUUAAGGAAGCUUUUGUCUGACAAGGAUGCAUACCAUCAAUUUUUACUUUCGCUCGAUCAAGUUAAAAUUCAAAAUAAUGGAGAACUUGGAAAAGGAACCGCGGAUUAUGGAGCUCAGAAAUCAGGUAAUAUUUAUCUUGCUUUCUUUAGGUGGUGUCGAAAUUAUUGUAUUGAUUGUGAAACAUUUUCUCCUGUUUGUAUGGUACACGGUGUAGAAUUAUGAGAACAAUAGAGUUGGCUGCUAUAGAGGAGAAGCUACAUGAGCUUGAGAGA